rnacentral:rRNA from 1 species
CCCUACGGGAGGCAGCAGUGGGGGAUAUUGCACAAUGGGGGGAACCCUGAUGCAGCGACGCCGCGUGGGUGAAGGAGCGUUUCGGCGCGUAAAGCCCUAUCGGCAGGGAAGAAGAUGACGGUACCUGACCAAGAAGCCCCGGCUAACUACGUGCCAGCAGCCGCGGUAAUACGUAUGGUGCAAGCGUUAUCCGGAUUUACUGGGUGUAAAGGGAGCGCAGGCGGCACGGCAAGCCUGAUGUGAAAGCCCGCGGCCCAACCGCGGGACUGCAUUGGGAACUACCGGGCUGGAGUGCCGGAGAGGGG